rnacentral:rRNA from 1 species
UACGUAGGAUGCAAGCGUUAUCCGGAUUUACUGGGUGUAAAGGGUGCGUAGGCGGACUUUCAAGUUGGAUGUGAAAACCCGGGGCUUAACCCCGUGAUUGCAUCCAAAACUGUAGGUCUUGAUUGGAGUAGAGGUAAGUGGAAUUCCGAGUGUAGCGGUGAAAUGCGCAGAUAUUCGGAAGAACACCGGUUGCGAAGGCGACUUACUGGGCUCUAAAUGACGCUGAGGCACGAAAGUGUGGGGAGCAAACAGG